AGCUAUCCAAUGUAGCUCACCUUAUCUGUAGUUUGAAGCUAACCUUUUUACUUACAAUAAAAAAUAAAUAAGGAACAAAAAUGAUUUCUUUUAAAUGAUAGAGAUACUCUUCCAUCCUUCUUUGACUGCCUUAAUAUGGGGUGAUCUUAGCGUGACAGUAUGAACAGUCAACGAUUUCCAUUGGUAUAUAUAUUUUAGCGGUAGUGGUUCGUAACAAGCGCGGCAACGAACUCCAGAUGGCCGAAGGCUACAGUUUCUACCGCCACAAAUGUUCUAGCCAGGCCCUGACGGACUUCUGGUACUGCACCUACGCAUGCAUGGUGAACACCACCAAAGAUGGACAAGUUCUUAGGAUGAGGCUAGAGCCUAACCAUGCGCCACCAAAAUGUGUCAUUAUAGAUGGCAUUUUAUACAAAUUGAAGUAAUUUAUUAAAUUUGUAACCGAAAUAAAGUUAGUUAUGGACGUAAAGAUGUUUUUUUGUGUUUAACCAUAUCAACAAAUAAGCACUGAGAGUAAAAAUUUAAAGUAAAAUGUUCAAAGCAAUUCCAGAAUUAGAUUUUUAUGGGAACUCUUUUUUUCUUUUUUUCUAGUGACUCACGUCCGGAACAGCAGAGGCAAAGAAUUGUUGGUUUUGAAUGGCUUCACUUUCUACUGUCGCAAGGUUUCCACCCAGGGAACCAGUGACUCACGUCAGGAACAGCAGAGGCAAAGAAUUGUUGAUUUUGAAUGGCUACACUUUCUACUGCCGUAUAGUUUCCGCUAAAGAGACCAGGUACUGGUACUGCACGCGUGGACACUCAUGUAACGCCAGAAACAACGAAUCCAAGGAUGGCACCAUUUCAAGGCCAAAGUUGGAUCAUACACACCCACCGCCGCGAUUCAUCAUUCGGAAUCUUUAUCUUAAGAUCUGAUACCUUUAUACAAUCUUGAUUUUUCUUUUAUUAUGAUUUUGUUAGGAAGGAUAGAUUUUUUUAUAUACAUUUAUGAAAUUACAUAGCUUUGCUCAGUUUUACGCCCUAAUCUAGGCACGAAAAAAAAACAGUAAAAACACUAUAAACUACAAUUACCAAAUUGAAUUAAAGAUAGGAAUUGCUUCGUCAAAGAAUAAGUCUGAAAUAAUACACGAGUUACAAGACUUGUUAAACUAGAUCGAUAGUUAUGUUGGUUUAAGAGCCCUUAAUCCUUGGAGCGUUCUCCGAUUUCACGAAAUAACGCUCGAUAGAUGGCGUUGGCGCUCGGUACGCGAGCGCCGGCAACGCGACGCGCGUUUCAAUGCAGACUAGAAUAAUCUUGAUAGUUUUCAAUAUAAUUUCAAGCAACA